rfam:Fervidicella metallireducens AeB contig00004, whole genome shotgun sequence.
AGUGAUAAGAAGAAGCCAUCCGCUUCUCACCUUACACCCAAGGUGCUAAGGUUAUGAUUAUUGAUUUUAUGUAUAUCUGCGGAUGGAUUAUGUCCAUCCGCUUUUUAUAUGCCUU